rnacentral:rRNA from 1 species
CCUACGGGAGGCAGCAGUGGGGAAUAUUGCGCAAUGGGCGAAAGCCUGACGCAUCGACGCCGCGUGAGGGAUGCAGGUCUUCGGAUCGUAAACCUCUGACAGCAGGGAAGAACGGUCACUGUGCUAAUCAGCAGUGCAUUGACGGUACCUGCAAAGGAAGCACCGGCUAACUCCGUGCCAGCAGCCGCGGGAAUACGGAGGGUGCGAGCGUUAAUCGGAAUUACUGGGCGUAAAGCGCUCGUAGGCGGUAUGUCAAGUCAAGGGUGAAAUCCCCGCGCUAAACGUGGGAACUGCCUUUGAAACUGGCAAACUGGAGUGUGUGAGAGGAUAGUGGAAUUCCAGGGGUAGGAGUUAAAUCCGUAGAUAUCUGGAGGAACAUCAGUGGCGAAGGCGACUAUCUGGCACAUAACUGACGCUGAGGAGCGAAAGCGUGGGUAGCAAACAGGAUUAGAUACCCCUGUAGUC